rnacentral:rRNA from 1 species
UGGGAAAAGCUCAACUUUGUAAUCUGGCAGCUUCGCUGUCCGAGUUGUAGUCUCGAGAAGUGUUUUCCGCGCUGGAUCGUGUAUGAGUCUGUUGGAAUACAGCGUCAUAGAGGGUGAGAACCCCGUU